rnacentral:lncRNA from 1 species
CUCUGCCUGAGGGGUAAAACUAAAACGUUUCCACCUCCAGCCAAUCCCAGAGAAGGCAGGAGCGCACUCCUCCAAUGGGAGCCCGAGAGCGGUCAGUGGCCGUGGAGGCCUGCUACCCCCGCUAGCUCUCCAGCCCGCCGGAGGGACGCUAGAUCCAGCCGCCGGCCCCUUGAAUCUGCUCCCCCUCGGCAGCGGUGGCGCGGAGGGCAGGAGGUGUCUGGUGAGACGGUCAGCGGGUAUCGGAGGAUCGUGCGGGUAGCAAAGGGAUGGCGAGUGCCCCUGCAGCCCCAGACAACAACCAGGUGUCCUUUUUCUCUGGAUGCUUUGAAGAUCCUUCUUUGAUUAUUGCUUGAUGCUAAAAGCUUUUUUUUAAUUUAUUUUUUAUUGGUGUUCAAUUUACUAACAUACAGAAUAACCCCCAGUGCCCGUCACCCAUUCACUCCCACCCCCCGCCCUCCUCCCCUUCUACCACCCCUAGUUCGUUUCCCAGAGUUGAUGCUAAAAGCUUUUUGUUGUCAUUCUCUAUAUGUUCCUUUAUUUAUGAAUGGAAAAAGUUCCCCCAUUGCUUUUCUAGGCAAUUAUUAAAAUAGAUAAUGGUUAUUGACUUCUAUACAUUUAACUUAUAAGCCACCUCAUGAGUAUAUUCAUUUUAAUGCAUUUUUCUCAUCAGAACCUUUUGGGCUUCCUGGGCAUAAAAUAAUAUCAGCAACAAAUAGGUUUUUUAUCUCUGCUUUUCUAGUGUUAUACCAGUCACCUCAUUUUUUUGCCCUACUGUUCCUUUAUAGCUUCCAAGACAAGGUUGAGUAUAUGGUAGUAGCAGGUAGUCCUGUUUUGUUCCUGAUAAUUUUGAUCAUCUGAUAAAUGUUCCAGUGAAUAUUUGUUGAGAGGCCAUGUUCUAGGGCCUGAGAAUACCGAGGGGAUGAACCUUUCUUUUUAGAGCUUCCUGAUCUUGCUUCAUGAAUGCAGUAUUUUUUCAUGUCACUCUGAGGACAUUAAAUCCUCAGUCUUCAGUCCAAGUCUUUGUUUCCAAAUAUGUAUAUUUGGGUGUCAGCAGCAGUGGGAAACUCACUGAUGUCAGAUUUGACCUGAGGCACCAGAGAUUCCAAAGACACGAUAUAUUCUGAAGUCUUAGAGUUUGUAUAAAUAGUAGGGGUGGGAAGGGGCCCCUCUCCUAGUGUGCAAGUACAGAACAGUGCCACACUUCUGUCACUCGAGACCUUAGUAGUGCAGUGGAUUCUGGCGCAGACUGCCUGGAAUCAAAUUCCAGAUCUGUCAUUUCAUAGGGGAGGCAGGGGACUUCUUUAUUUGUAGUUUCACCUGUAAAAAUGAGGGUAAUAACAGU